rnacentral:rRNA from 1 species
GCGGUAAUAUAACACAUGCAAGUCGAGCGGGAUCCAUCCAGUAAGCAAUACUGGUGAAGAUCUAGCGGCGGAACGGGUGAGUAACACGUGAGAAACCUGCCCCGGACUCUGGGAUAACACGAGGAAACUCGUGCUAAUACCGGAUACCUUCAUUUUGGUCGCAUGGCCGAAUGAAGAAAGAUUUAUCGGUUUUGGGAGGGUCUCGCGGCCUAUCAGCUAGUUGGCGGGGUAACGGCCCACCAAGGCAUCGACGGGUAGCUGGUCUGAGAGGACGAUCAGCCACACUGGGACUGAGACACGGCCCAGACUCCUACGGGAGGCAGCAGUGGGGAAUCUUGCGCAAUGGGCGAAAGCCUGACGCAGCAACGCCGCGU